rnacentral:lncRNA from 1 species
UGUGUCCAGCCUCCAUACAUUUUAUUUCUUUUUGUUGAUCCACAACUAACCUUUGAAUUGGUACAAGCAUUCAAGACUUUAUUGGAUUAUGAUGAAUCAUGAAACAAUGAAAUUUGGAUGUACAAGGAUUCGGGAUUUAUUAAUAGAAUCUGAAGUAGCAUUUGAAUUUCUUAUGAAAAAUAAACAUUGCAAAAAUCGCAUAUAUGGAUCAUAGCUGUCGGAAGGCGGUGAAUGAUUCUUGCAUCGUUGCAAGCUUCGAAUAUUUCCAAAUCCAACAUACUGGGCCAAGACAAACAAAUAAA